CUGAGACCACCACCAUUCUGGGGGCAAGCGUGUUCAUGCAGGUUCUGUUGUCGGUUUUGGGGAGGCGGUGUGCUUUGGCAGCUGGGCGCCCCUGCAGUUGCUGCUGGGUCACUGUUGGGGCUGCUGCUUUGCUGCUGCUGCUGCCGUGGAGCAUUGAUGUUGCUGCUCCUCCUUGCAGCAUCAGUGCGAGGCGUUGGUGUGAGGGUUAGAACUUUGUUCGACCCUGCUUGUGGGCCGGUGGUCGGCAGGGGAAGUGCGGGGCGUGGCUGUUGUGUCGGCUGCCUAUCGCUGCCUCCUGCGCCUGGCCUUGCCUUCUCCUUGCUGCCCUGGAGUGGCCAAACUGGACGGACUGGAGUGGCAGCCGGCUGGUGGAGGUGUUGCCCAGCUGCUACUAGUGCCCAGCUGGACAGGCCGCCCUCGCUGAGGAUCUGGGCUUGCUGCUGUUACCAUCGUUGCAACAGAGGGAAGGAAAGGGAAGGGUGCAUGUGCCACCUUUGGCGUUUAGCCUCCAACAACAUUCUGGUGAUGAGGUGGAGGAGCAGCUAACAAGAAUAGCUGUUUGAGCAUUGGACUACUUUGGACAAGGGUUCAAUUCUCCAUUCAGCUGCGAAAAUCAGUGGGUGACCUUGACAAGUCACACACACUCAGUUCCAGAAGACUCUGCAAUAGGUUCACCUUGGAGUCACCAUACAUUGGAAAUGAUAUGAAGGCACAUAACAAUAGCAAAUUAUUCAACAUUAACACUCCCUGGAAUAUUUUUCAAAAUUAGAAGUGAAUUUUAUGUUUUAAUGUGCCUCUUCCCACUUCUUUCAUUUUAUGCAGCCUUUGAAACUGGGAUGUGGAUUCUCUGCUCUUCCACCUAUGACUUCAUACAUUAGGUUUUCUAUACCCAUCUGACUUCCCUGAAUUUCCCAGUGAUGGGAUGGUGGUUGUGUCAAGGUGCCACACUUGUGAGAUAAAAAGGAGCACUUAGGGCACCUCACUUGAGUAAGCUUUGAUUUUUGUUUUCAACAAUUGAGGAGGCAGACGAGGAGGCUGCAUUUGUAUUUCAUGCUAAGUUUCUCUCUCUUCAUCUUUUAUUAAAAGGAUCUUUGUGCCUAGCAAUGGUUGGUUAGUAUUUUACAGGGCUUUUGCUUAUUUUCCUUUGAUCAGAUGUGUCCUUCAAUGUAACAGCUGCACUCAGCAAGGUGAGUUGGAGGUAUUUUCCUUUGACAAAUCAGCAGAUGAAUACUUGUCUUUUUAGAUGUACAAGGAUGGUAGCUAAUGCCUAAUAUAGGAAAUAUAGAUUGCAUAAUUUGAUUUAGAUCUGUCUAGAUAAGAUGGGCCCAGAAGACAUCAGCCCCAGAUUUCGAGGGUUAUUGCAAACCACUCUAGAGAUGUCUUAACUUUUAAAAAACAGGUCAGAGUGAAUCAAACAAUUUAAACUCUUGCCAUACAUGAAUGACAUAUAUGUGAGACUGACUGCAGAAAACAGACUUAUAUAGAUUGAUUUUCCAUAACAGAACAACUGAUGGUACAAUUGUAAGCACAUUUACAUGGAAGGCUGCACUGAAUACACCUGGAUUUAUUGUAAAGCAAAUAGGUAUACUGUUGGACUUUAAGCACAAAUCAGUUUAAAUCACAUGUGAAAAAUGCAUGUUUGAACCAAUGCCCCCAUUUAAUUCCAGAUGGCAUCCAUCUUUCAUUCUCAGUUGUUAAUAAUAAUAAUAAUAAUAAUAAUAAUAAUAAUAAUAAUCCUGACUUGAAUAAAGGUCUGUAUAUGUUCUCAAUACCAAAAUUUCUUAUUAUUUAAUGUUAUUUAUUUACUUUAUUUAUAUCCUGCCUUUCUUCCCAUGGGGACUCAAGGGGGCUAACAACUACAUACUUUGGUCCCCAUUUAGAACAAAAUGAAUACAAAAAUAAAAAACAAUUAAAAACUGUGUGGGUUAUGUUAAAAUAGAAUUAAAAUAUAAUAAAUACAAUUCAAAUUAAUUUUAAAACUCACAAUUCCCUCUAAAUCCCACCCACACCCUCCCCAGCCCCUUAUCCUUUUCCAAAUGCCUGCUGACAGAGAAAGAUCUUUACCUGCUUGUGGAAAGUAAGUAGGGAUGGGGCCGCCCUGGUUUCUCUUGGGAGUUCCACAGCUCAGGAGCAGCCACCGAAAAGGCCGCCUCCUGUGUUCCCACCAAACACACUUGAGUGGGUGGUGGGACAGAGAGAAGGACCUCCUCAGUUGUAGAUGUCUGAAGGUUCAUAGAAGGAGAUAUGGUUCUUCAGAUAACCUUGACUGGAGAUGUAUAGGGCAUUGGUACAAUGCUCUUUUUGCUGCCUUAAUUGCCCCACUGUAGACCUUCAGAUAGAUUUUUGUCUGUUUUCUGCCACUGUUGCUUUAGUUUCUGUCUCAUGUUUCAUUGCUGCCAGCUCCUUGGUGAACCAACAGAAUAGUUUGGCUCCACUUUCUGAGAAGGCAUGCUUCAGAGCAAUUGUGUCUACCACCCUGAUCAUUUCCCCAAUCCAGGGCUUUGAUCACCUGCCCUAAUAGCAGGAAAUUUCCCAAGGGCCAUCAGGAAUCCAUCUGGAUGCAUAAGCCUCCUGGGGUGGACCAUCUUAAUGCGUCCCCCAUACUUGCAGAGGUUCUGAGUCCCAGCAAGACUAAACCUGACCAGAUGGUGUUCUGUCCAUGACAAUAGUGCCACAGAGAGCUUCUCCACCCCUAGAUCAUCAUCAUCCCCAUUCUCUGUACAUAAUACAAAGUCUAGAGUGUGCCCAGCAGCAUGUGUGGGGACAGAUACCAAUUAGAACAGACACAUGGCUGUCAUAGCAGACAUGAAGCCUUGAUCCACUCCCAACAAUGCAGUCUCAACAUAGAGUUGAAGUCCCCCAGUUCUACAAGCCAUGGAGACUCCAACACCAACCCCUGAAACUUUUGAGCAGUGGGGUGGGUGGCCCACCAACAGAAUUCCUAUUCUGUCCUGGCUCCCCACCUUUAGGUAAACACCCUCAACCCCCUGCAGACUGAGGGAUAGGUCAGGAGAGAUGCACAUGUGUCCCAGGCCCACGGCAUGAGUCGAGGCUUCUCCAUGCCUCCCUGGCCCAUCAGGGAAGCCUGGCAGGCCUGCAGCUGGUGCAAGCAGCCUCUCUGCAUUCUGGCAGGGGGCCUGAGGCAACAGCUAUGAUGAAGCACCCGGCUACUGCCUCAACAGACACCCCCCCCAAGCCAUACCCACACCAACCCAAGCGGGGAGGGGGGGCUGACCCACCGAUGGUGCCUAUCAGAAGCAAAGCUCCCUUACCUGUUACUUGGAAGUUUCCCUCGGACUGGCUGCCUCCUUUGUGUGAGUCAGCUAUUUGACCAAUGCUGCUGCCUGAAGCCUCCAUGUAAUCCUAUGUAUGCCGGCUCUCAUCCACAAAGAACUGUUGGGAGUUGCCACACGCUCCCUGGCUGCUUUCUUGCUUCUCCUGGGAACAAAGCCCCCCCCCAUCCCCUCCCUCCCCCCUCCCUCCCUCCCUCCCUCUUUCUUUCUUUCUUUCUUUCUUUCUUUCUUUCUUUCUUUCAUUCAUUCUUUCUUUCUUGUUUUAAAAACCAUUGUUCACAAACAGAUUUUUUGGCUUUAACAGAACGCAUACAGAGAAGUUAUAAAGGUUAGAAUCAUAGAGGCAAGGAAAAGGAGAAAUGUUAACUAUCUGCUCCUCAAGUAAAGUCAACACAUGGUCAUCUAAAGCUUCAUUUACCCUCCUUACAAAACCAUUAGGUCCAGCUUCUAAAAUUAUUUGCCUUCACUGCUGGAAACACACACCAGGGGAUGCAGUGUCCCAUUUGAAACCUGAAGGUGAAUUCUCAAAGUCCAUUCCUCUUCCUCGUUCCAGGAAAUGAACUAUUGAGGCGGAAAAUUAAAAAGCCACGUUUUGUCCGAAAGUCAAAUUAGGAGCUUCAAAAUGAGACUCAACACUUAUGCUGCAAUGUUUUGUAAGACAGUCUUUAAACUCAAGGUUAAUAACAGUUAACAGAAAUGUCCAUACUUUAGGUUUACUGGAUUUUCACUAUUAAACAACUUUCACUUGUUUGCCCAACCAACAAUGUCAAUGAAAUCAGUUAAAGUUCUGGUUAUUAUAAGGUUUUUUUUAAAUAUCUCACAUUAUCUCCCACUCAUCACAUAUUUCAGCUACAGAAUAAAAAGAUACUAUUUUUACUAGUAGAUCUUCAACACUAGUAACACAAAUAAGAGCAACAUCUUUUUUGAGGAUCAUUGUCAUGUGAAUUAACUUUUUGCAAGGAGCUAUAGAGCUCAUUCAUAUCUACCAUAAAGUAUUAAUAGUAUCUUUACUGAGGAUCAUAUUCAGGUGAACUAACAUGAUAUAUCAGGCAUGAGAAAACUUUGCCCCUCCAGAUGUUUUGGACUUCAACUCCCACAAUUCGUAACAGCUGGUAAACUGGCUGGGAUUUCUGAGCAUCAAAGUCUGAAACACCUGGAGGGCCAAAGUUUGCUCAUGCCUGCUCUAUAUGUUUUAGAGCUGCUUCACACACAUACAUACAUUAUUAUUCCUCUAUAAUUAUUUUGUUAUUGUGUACCUUCAACUAAUUUCUGACUUAUGUCACUGGGUUUCUGGGACUGAGGGUGUGUGACCCACCCAAGGCACUUGUUUAGUCUACAUUAAUUUCUUAUUUACAUCCAGUCUUUCCCUCCAAUGAGCUGAAGAUGGCCUGCUUGGUUCCCUUUCUGCUCAUUUCCCCUUGCAACUACCCUGUGUCUCUGAGGAAGUUGGGGCUCUGAGACUGGCUGAUGCAAGUUUCAUGUCUCAGUGGAAACUUUAAUCUGUGGUCCAAUUAUAGCACUAUAUUCUAUAACUGCCAUGACUACAUCCUAUGGAGUCGUGAGAUCUGUAGUUUGGUGAGACACUGGAGC
rnacentral:lncRNA from 1 species